GAUCAUGGCUCAGGAUGAACGCUGGCGGCGUGCCUAACACAUGCAAGUCGAACGAAGCAAUUAGAAAGAAGUUUUCGGAUGGAUUUCUGGUUGACUGAGUGGCGGACGGGUGAGUAACGCGUGGAUAACCUGCCUCACACUGGGGGAUAACAGUUAGAAAUGGCUGCUAAUACCGCAUAAGCGCACAGUACCGCAUGGUACGGUGUGAAAACUCCGGUGGUGUGAGAUGGAUCCG
rnacentral:rRNA from 1 species